AUUGAACGCUGGCGGCAGGACUAACACAUGCAAGUCGAGCGGAUGAAGGGAGCUUGCUCCUGGAUUCAGCGGCGGACGGGUGAGUAAUGCCUAGGAAUCUGCCUGGUAGUGGGGGAUAACGUCCGGAAACGGGCGCUAAUACCGCAUACGUCCUGAGGGAGAAAGUGGGGGAUCUUCGGACCUCACGCUAUCAGAUGAGCCUAGGUCGGAUUAGCUAGUUGGUGGGGUAAAGGCCUACCAAGGCGACGAUCCGUAACUGGUCUGAGAGGAUGAUCAGUCACACUGGAACUGAGACACGGUCCAGACUCCUACGGGAGGCAGCAGUGGGGAAUAUUGGACAAUGGGCGAAAGCCUGAUCCAGCCAUGCCGCGUGUGUGAAGAAGGUCUUCGGAUUGUAAAGCACUUUAAGUUGGGAGGAAGGGCAGUAAGUUAAUACCUUGCUGUUUUGACGUUACCAACAGAAUAAGCACCGGCUAACUUCGUG
rnacentral:rRNA from 1 species